UCCAGACUCCUACGGGAGGCAGCAGUGGGGAAUAUUGCACAAUGGGGGAAACCCUGAUGCAGCGACGCCGCGUGAGUGAAGAAGUAUUUCGGUAUGUAAAGCUCUAUCAGCAGGGAAGAAAUAGCGACCUUUGGGUCGCCAGACGGUACCUGAUUAAGAAGCCCCGGCUAACUACGUGCCAGCAGCCGCGGUAAUACGUAGGGGGCAAGCGUUAUCCGGAUUUACUGGGUGUAAAGGGAGCGUAGACGGCAGCGCAAGUCUGAAGUGAAAUGCCGGGGCUUAACCCCGGAACUGCUUUGGAAACUGUGUUGCUGGAGUGCUGGAGAGGCAAGCGGAAUUCCUAGUGUAGCGGUGAAAUGCGUAGAUAUUAGGAAGAACACCAGUGGCGAAGGCGGCUUACUGGACAGUAACUGACGUUGAGGCUCGAAAGCGUGGGGAGCAAACAGGAUUAGAUACCCGUGUAUA
rnacentral:rRNA from 1 species